CAAAUCAGCUUACAACACUAAAACUCAGGAUCUAGACAUAAAAUAUAGAUUUCUAGGAAAUGUAUAAGUUUUUUUAUUGUGUCUGCAGAUUUUUAUCUUGGUUAGGAAGUGUCUAUUAUUGAAAGUAAUUGGUCAAACUUCGAAACAAUCAUCUCCAAGACAUGCAAAUUUCUUGGAUGAGAUAAAUAUGACAUGAAAAGAAUUAAUGGUGUUACUUACACCAGACUUUUGCCCAAUCAACCUCCGAUUUGAUGGAGCUCGUGCAACUGAUGAAGCAGCAGCUGCUGCUGCCACGCGAAUCCUGAAAAGUCUCAUCCACAAUUUCCUCCUGCAAUCAAAUGUUGAUCAGAAGAUCAUUAAUAAAUGAGGGCAAAAUAAAUUUUCCACUGGCUAAUUUCAAUGAGGGGGAUGUCAACCAAGCCAAAGGUUGAACAAAUAAACAGACAGUUCCAGAUCUAAGAGGUGGAAGCAGAGCUUACUUGCAGAAGUUCUUCAAAAACAUCCUCAAGGGUGAUGAUACCAAUGACUUCUCCAUCUUCAAUAUCCUCUGAAAAACAAUGCAAGUUUUUCUCAGAAGCAUGAGUUUGUGUUGAGGUUUGUUUAUCUAUGUCAGACUUCAAAGUUUUCUCAAUAUUGAUUUUAACAUUAUCUGAUACAUCAGUAACACCAUCAUUCUUGGCCAGCAAGGGAGUCUUUAA